AAACUAAUUUAAUCUGACGGCAUUUCAUUUAAUUAGAGGAAUUUGUCCUUUAAUCGACAAUCCACGUUAAAUUUCACUUUAAUAUAAAAUUUAUAUACCACCAUCUUAAGAAUAAAUUAAAAAAUAUUUCUCUAAAAAAUUAAUAAAAAGUUAGGUCAAGGUGUAAUUCACAUUAAAGAAUGAGAUGAAUUACAUUAAAUAUUAUUUAAAGAUUAUAAAUAAUAUAUUUAUAUAAAUAAGAAUUUAAAAGUAAUAUAUUCAAUAAUAAUAAAAUAUGAUUCAAAUAAUAAAUGUGUACACAUCGCCC
rnacentral:rRNA from 1 species